rnacentral:lncRNA from 1 species
AAAAUACCCCUACGGACUUAAUAAAUCGAGUCAAAAAGCUACGAAGUGAGGCCCAAGAUUCAACAAGUACAAUAACUUCAUUUUUUUUAACACAACAAAAAUGGGGCUUAGAUCCCUAGCAUACGGUCAUUACCUAGCUUAUGCUCGGCAAAAGACACUCCACACAAAUAUUUUCAACAUGCACGAAAUCACACACUUCUAGAUAAUCUCCUUCAC